CAGCACCCGUCUAACGGUUGUUGGGUACCGACGUCCGCCACCUAGAGGAAGAGUUCUGAAGCUCACGCAACGCCAACCCGUUUUCCGGCGAUGACCUGGGGAAUCAAAGUUAAUAUUCCUCGGCAAAUCGCUCUCCAAACUAACUCCCCCCUCCCCCACCCCCUCACAUCCCCUUCCGCCCUACAACAUCGUCACAAUAUUUUCUUAGUAAUUGCUCUGUGCAAUUGACAGAAGCGCCGAGGCUCCGGCAGCGCAGUGCCCUCACAGCAAAUCGCCAGAGCGCAUUGGGGAAGCAGGUCUCAGUCUCAACGCUGGAGUUUAAAGGAGACGUCCCGGAAAUGACUCGUCCUUUCGUCCUUCCCAUAGGCGACCUCAGAACCGUGGACUAAGAAGCUCUUUUCAUACCGUAGAAAUUAUUUUUUAAGAUGGUCGAAACAAAUGUGAGGGAUAAUCUUUGCAAAAAUAAAUUGUACUCAAAACAUGUUUGUUAAUGAUGUUGGGAUCCAAGCCUUUGGAGUUGGAGUAAAUGUAAGACAUCAUCUGAUUCAGCAGCUUUGGAGAAAGAUCACCAUCUGAAUCAGUGGCUUCUGGGAGCUGUGCUGAAUGGGUUCUAAUAGAUAUUACUGGCCAAAUGGAGUAGAUUUUUCCUUCCUAUGUGGCAGAGCUAACAAUGAUAACUAAGCGGUUAUAAUCACGUGGUCUUCUCUUUUCUACCAGGUUAAGAGGAAAAAAAUAAUAUCUAAAGCCUGCUGUAAUGUAUAUUUCUUUAUCUACCAGCAAGCUUGAAUACAUCUUUCAGCCCCCGGUACAUAGUUGUAUAUUCUUCUUUGUGGAUUCUUCUAGUUGUGGUAUGUGGGAUGCUGCCUCAGCGUGGUUUGAUGAGCAGUGCCAUGUCCGCGCCCAGGAUUCAACCAACGAAACACUGGGCCGCCUGCAGCAGAGCGCGCGAACUUAACCACUCGGCCACGGGCCAGCCCCUGAAUGUUAAGUUUUCCAUUGCAUUUAAUAAUAAAAAUAUGAUAAUACUUUAAAUAUCUAGAGAUGAGUUAAAUAUUAUCGUUAUAUUAUCUAAACUUAAAAUUUAAUAAGAUUUUGGAUACAUAGUCUUAUAAACUAAAUAAAUGAUUAAUUUGAUUAUUAUGGGAGAAAUAUUAUAUCUUUUUAUUCAUGUAUCUAAUAAUAAUUUUAUUCAUCCAUUCAACAAAUAUUUACUGAACUUCCACUACAUGCCAGGAGCUGUAGGUGAACAAAUAGUGAAUAAGACAGAUAAAACUCUUUGCUCUUGUGGAG
rnacentral:lncRNA from 1 species